CAAAACAAUAGCGUGCACAACAACAGCCAACUGCUCUAUAGAUGGUUAUGCUUGCUGCUUUGAUUGUACUAUAUAAUAGGUGUGAUCGCCGUACUGUUCUGGACUUUGCAGUGCUGCAUCUUCAUACCGCAUCUAACAUAGCCCGAACACAUCCAGGUCGCAGUUUAUCGAUGUAGUUUUGUUCAAUAUUCUUCGUUCAUAGUAGUUACAUCAAGGCGGAUCAUCCAACGCCACCACCACCAACUAUCGAAAGGACAGGAUCGCAGCACCCACUGGCGUUUCUUGCGUUCUCUUUGGCAUAUCAGCGCGCAGAUAUUUGUGCAGCACUCAUGCUGCGAGACGAAACGAAGCACUUUAUAAUAUUAGUGCGAGUGAUUUUUUAUGAUCAUGACUGCAUUUCUUAGAUUUCCCAUCUGUGCACCCAUCCGACGCUGCAGUCGAAGGGGGGGGGGGGGUGAUACAGCUUUCCCACCGAGUGGGGUGGCGGUGGAUUAUGCGAUGUUAGAAUUGUAUUUUGGAUAGGGUGCCGGUGCCAUUAGUGGACUACCUAAGCUAUAAAAAAUCAUAACAAAAUAACGAAAAGCCUUAGCA